GCGCGCCACUCACCUCUCUCUCCCGCUGCUGCUGGACGUGCACAGCGGUCACGGUGACGGCCGAGAGCACCACGGAGAUGGCCAGCACCACCCGGGAGCCCCUUGACAUCGCCGCCGCGUCCACCGAAUUGCCUCUCAGAAGUGAGCAGCAGUUGCCUGAGGGUCACAACCAGCUCCAGCUGGCUGAAGGAGAGCCAGGGCCUCAAUUGCACGACACCCUGCAAGGCAGGAUGGUGCUAAGCUGCCAGCUAAGCUGAGGUGUGACACAUUUGCCCAUCAGUCAUGAUCGAAGGAUGACAGCAGAAAUGAUGUUCUGUAGCCACUGCAGCCAGUGCUCGUUUAACCAAACCCUUACUAAAUCGACAGUGAGUCUUGACAAACGCGGUGAGUUGAGUUUUUACAGGAGAAUUGUCAUUGUACCAUGGUGGGACACUUUCUCUUUUCUGACCAGAAAUGCUGUUGUGGGCUGCUAAAAAAAGGGUAUUUGCCCCAUUAACACUGCUAAUGUGGAGAGUCCACUGAAGAAGGGAGCAUGGCCAGCUGGUCUGAUGCCUCUGACUUUCAGGAGGGGACGUUUUCUGGGGCUUUCUUCUGGAGUGUGCUUGCAUUUCCAGUGCGGUUGCAGCUCCGAAAAACAAACAAAAGGAGAUUUCUUUGGAAUUCAAGAAAGAUCUUUUGCUUUUAUUGCAUGAAGACCUCCAGUUCUGCACUUUCCUUGCCCAGAAAACCCAAAUUGCAUAGGACAAACAGCUGGAGAAAGCAGCUCUUCAAUUGUUUGGUUUCUUCUCAUUGUUCAGUGUGUGGCCGUAGGCCUCAUGUUUGGCAGUUUUUUGUGCUCUGAAGACAGCAUUAUUCCUCUCCCUGUGGGCUUUUCACUGGCACUUCCUCACUAGAGCAUCAGAGUGCUUUACAGGCAGAGAAAAAUGUAUGUUCCCAGUGCUCCUAUGUGAGAGCAAGAGAUGGUUAUCACAAACGACUUUGGUCCACCAUGUUUGAAUGCUCAGUCUGGGAGACUUGGGACUUCUUUUUUCAGAGCAUUUUUACCCUGUAACACUUAAAAGCAAAGCUCCUUCAGGCCACGAUGGAGGAUUCAGAGGUUCAGGUCAGAAUCCCCCAAAGUGAGGAACAGUCACUAUCUGCUACUUUAUGAUACAAGUAAGCAAGUCAGAGGUGCAGAAGAGCCAUUUUGGUGGCUCUUGUGAAUGUAUCAAGCCAAAGGAUGUCUAGUGGGGGAGGUGGGAUAUACCACAAGGUCUAUAAAAUCCUGACGGAUGUGAGGGAACAAUCAUUCACAAUUUGCCAUGAUACAGCAGGAACCAGCUUCAGGUAGGAAGCUUAAAUCAAGCAAAAAAAAGUAUGUUUUUCCACACCAUGAGCAAGUUAUUUGUCAAAUUCAUUGCCCCAGAUAGUGCAGAGGCUAAACUUAUCUACAGAUUGAGGCAGGAAUUGGACAAAUUCAUGGAGCACCAUUGAUAUCUGGAUGCUGCUUUUGCCUCAUGAAUUCCUUAAACCACAAAUUAACUGGAAGGUGGGAGGUCUGUUGUGAGAGGUACAAUCUUAUUCCUGAUUCCUUCCUGUACUUUUUCUCCAAGCAUGUGCUACUGGUCGCUGGCAGGCAAGAAGGACUUUCAGCCUCAUGGGUACCACAGUCCCUAUCUCAAGCACAAGCUCAGGUGUUUCCAGGUAGAAGGGGAUUUUGAAAUGCAUCCAAAUAUUUUCUAGGAAAGGGUGGAAUACAGCAGCUUUGGUAAUGUUAAUGAAAACAGUUACUGCAAGGAGAUGAGUGGGUCAUGUCCCCAGACCAGUCUUUAGCAAAAGAGGAAUGCCUAAUGUGUGAAGCCAGUCCCUCUUCAUUGUAAUUAUCUUUAUCUGUCUGCUGAACAAAUGUGAUUAAAAUGAAAGGUGAAAUUAGUGGGAAUGAUAACAAUUCAAUUUAGCAGAAUAGUUUUGCUCACAUUGGUGUAUUGACUAUUGUUAAGAUUUAUGCAUAAGUGCUUGUACCAUAGCCAAGGCCACUGGAGUGCCAAGACCAGGGGCGAGCCAGAUGCACAGCAGAUGUGAGCCAGCAGAGCACCCUUGGCAGCCAGGGAAGGGUACAGUUUACACCAUCUGGAAGCUGGGCGCCUUUUCCCAAGCCCGGGAUUAGCCACCUGAGGGGCUGAAAUCCCAGCUAGGGCUUGCUGGAGUGCUCACCCUCCUGCUGUUCAGCCUGCCAUGGUCCUGCUCUCCUCCUGCUUUGGAUGGUUGUCCCUUUGCCAUGCUGAUGCUGCGAGGUGACCCAGUGGGAAAUUGAGCUGUGGACCAGAUUAGCAACUGGUUCUGCCUUAAAAUCCUGCGACAACAAUGGGGAAAAGCCCAGUCUCCUUUGAGAAACUGUUUUCUAGCCGAAUCAUAUUUGCAGCCUGGCACCGCCGAAGGGGUGUGGCAGAGCGAGUGACAUGGAAGUGAUGUAGGAGGGAGGCAGGAAUACCCAGUGGUGAUACUGCCAGUGAAAGCCUUUGGCCUGGAGAUUGGCAGAAGGACAAAAGAGGGUUAGAUUUUAGAGUUUCUCACUAUGAAUACGGACUUAACUGCCCAAGGCCUUUUGCAAAGACAUCUUGCAGGACCUGUGAAGCCGGUGGAGUGUGUGGCAGCUGGCAAAGUGGCGGAAACUUCUUGCAAGGAGACAAAUGACAUUGCUGAUGCUCUCAAACAAGAGAGUGAGACGAAGGUUGAGCUUGUGCUGAGGAAUAUGUGGCUCAAGAGGGCUUUUAUUUUAUUUUAUUUUUUGCUGGCACCGCUGGUUUCUCUGCACAUGAGGUUUCCUCAAAUAAACACUUUGGCUGCUAA